CUCCUUCCAGUCUCAUACAGAUAGAGGGAGAGACGUGGAGAGGAGCUCGGCUAGAAGAGCCUGAUGUGUGGGGCCCCUGUUUAUGUGCAUUGCUGGCCAACCGGACCAAUCUGGCUGAUGUGUGGGCCCCCUGUUUAUGUGCAUUGGGGCCCCAGAUAUUGAUGAUUUGGGGCUGAGAAGGGCAGAAAAAGGCAUCCCACAAUGCAGCUCCAUUUUCCACACCACCCCAAAGGCAUCCUGAUCUUUGAUCUAAUGGGCCUCAACGUGGAUUGUGAUGCUCCAAAAGUCACCAGAUUGGAAGAUUUUAGUACUUGAAUUGCUGGCCUAUUUCCAUUGAAUGUAGACUACGUUGUAGCUUAAACGUCUAUUUGCUAGGCCAAUAUUCAAAGAGUUAGGAUUUUACGAUCUGGGAAAUUUUGGUCUUUAAACGUCUAUUUGUAGCUCUUUAUGUAGGUUUCACUGGUACCUGGUUGUUUCAGAUGACAUAAUUGUUACAGGGGUUUUCUCAGCAAAAUGGUCCCCAGAUUUAAAGGAUGUCCGCUGUGACCUUGAUCCUGUUUUAAUGGCUAACCAUGUGAGAAAAUGUUAAGUUCUGUAAUGCUAUGCACAAUUUGGUGAGUCAGUGGUGUGUGUUACACCAGCCAAUCCGCUUCCUUGAAGAUGGAGCAAAAUAACUGCUAGAAUAGCAAAGAAAACUCAACUCAAACCAUGUCAUCCAUGGUUGGAUUCUUCUGCUUCAUCAUCUUCUUGCCAUUGACCCAUCUCUCAUCCACUAAUGCAAGAGCCAUCAACUCCUCAUCAAUCGCCGGCUGCCCCAAGAAAUGUGGCGACGUUGAUAUCAGCUACCCAUUCGGAAUUGGAAACUCCCACUGUUUUUAAAAGGCUUCGAAGUAAAUUGCAGCCAAAACAUUCCUUAUCAGAUUUGAUUGUUUACUUACCAGAUUUGAACCUUCAACUCCUCAAGAUCUUGCAGGGGGAAGUGCGCAUCAAUUUGACAGAUUUCAUUGCCAAGUCUCGCCCAUUGUCAUCCCAAGAGAAAUUUCCGCUGAUUUAGUUGUCCGAAGCAAGUCCUUACACCAUACCGGCCUCGUCAAACAAAUUCAUAGCUAUAGGUUGUAGCACAAUAGGAAUGGCAUUGGGCAUAGAUAACAUCACGUCAUCUAACGGGUGCAUCUCCGAAUGUCUUACCAAGGAGAGUAUUGUUAAUGGUUCUUGCAAGGGUCAUGGCUGUUGUGAAGCAUAGCUUCCGCUGGUGAGAAAGAUACUAAUGUUUACUGUCAGUCAUGUUAACUCAAGUUUCAACCCGUGCAGCUACGGGUUCUUUGUUGAAGAUGGGAGCUACAUUUUCAAAGAGUUGGAUCUUCUUGAUUUUGAUAAAACAGCAAGGAUUAGUAUGAGGCUUGAAUGGUCACUAGAAGGGAGCUGUGAAAAACCGGCCCACGCAUGUGGCAGUAAUGCCUCAUGCUCUAACCCAAAUUAUGGGUCUCGGUGCAAUUGCUCGGAUGGGUACAGAGGGAACCCUUAUCUCAAUGGUUCUCAAGGAUGCCAAGAUAUUGAUGAAUGUGAUGAGUCUCUCAGUAGUAGUCCUUGUGUGGAAGCAGCAACAUGCAGGAACACUGCCUGGGUUUGUAUGUGAAUGUCCAACUGGGACCAUAGGAGAUGGAAGAACAGGUGGAAUCGGCUGCAGCAGGGGACGUGAAAUCAUCUGAAUGCCAAAUCCAAUCUCUACAGUUCUCUUAGUGGCAUUAACAUUGAUUGGAGGUGUGCAAUACAUUGACACUUCUGGGACAAGUCCGUGGAGUCUCAUCUUCCUCUAGUUGGUGACCUAGGUGUGUUUUUAUUUUUAAUCCCUUGUUAUUUGAAGCUGAAGCCUUACCAUGGAAUUGGGUUGCCAAAAUACCAUGGAAUUUCCAUACAUGCAACAUCAAUGGAAGCAACUUGUAGGUUCUAUAUAUCAUCUUUACCAUUUCUCUUUUGUUCGAUUGUGUUAUGUUUUAUUUGGAUGCUUGUACAAAUAUUGAGAAUAAAAGUAUCUCUUGCAUUUGUAUUUUAAUUGAUGGGACAUAAUUAUGAUGA